CGCCUCUUGCAUAUUUAUGAAUAAGAGGUCCCGCCUGCCCUGUGACUGCAAGUUUAACGGCCGCGGUAUUUUGACCGUGCAAAGGUAGCGCAAUCACUUGUCUCUUAAAUAGAGACCCGUAUGAAUGGCACGACGAGGGCUUGACUGUCUCCUUCCCUCAGUCAAUGAAAUUGAUCUCCCCGUGCAGAAGCGGGGGUACUUACAUAAGACGAGAAGACCCUAUGGAGCUUUAGAUGUAUAGCCAAUGUUAUGUUAAUAACCCCUUACAAAGGACCAAACAAAUAAUUAUUUGACUAGAUGUCUUCGGUUGGGGCGACCGCGGAGUAAUAAAAAACCUCCGUGAGGACUGGGACUAACCCUUUAAACCCAGAACACCUGUUCUAAGUAGCAAAAUCUUUGACCUUAAAGAUCCGGUUGUAAUAAACCGAUCAACGAACCGAGUUACCCUAGGGAUAACAGCGCAAUCCUCUUCAAGAGUCCCUAUCGACAAGAGGGUUUACGACCUCGAUGUUGGAUCAGGACAUCCUAAUGGUGCAGCCGCUAUUAAGGGUUCGUUUGUUCAACGAUUAAAGUCCU
rnacentral:rRNA from 1 species